rnacentral:sRNA from 1 species
CCUACGUGUACAACGAUGAGGAUGACGUCUUUGCCCGGGAGCCAUUUGUGGCCCAGUUCUCUUUGCCCAGCAAUGUCCUUCCCAGCCUGGUGUUGGUCCCGCUGCACACCACUCCUAAGGCCGUAGAGAAGGAGCUGAACGCCCUCUACGAUGUGUUUCUGGAGGUCUCCCAGCACUGGCAGAGCAAGGUAGGCCUGGGCAGUUUGUACAGGAGGGACAAGGAUAGGGCGGCCCAGCGGCCAGCCUGAUGGCUGCUGUGUCUCUAGGACGUGAUCCUGCUCGGGGACUUCAAUGCUGACUGUGCUUCACUGACCAAAAAGCGCCUGGACAAGCUGGAGCUGCGGACUGAGCCAGGCUUCCACUGGGUGAUUGCCGACGGGGAGGACACCACAGUGCGGGCCAGCACCCACUGCACCUAUGACCGCAUCGUGCUGCACGGGGAGCGCUGCCGGAGUCUGCUGCACACUGCGGCUGCCUUUGACUUCCCCACGAGCUUCCAGCUCACCGAGGAGGAGGUGAAGGGAAGGGGCUGGCAUGAGGAGGGAGGGCAGCAGCAGGGUCACAGGGAAGCCCCUCGGCCCCGGGCACUGACACUGCCCCACCACCCAUUCCCAGGCCCUCAACAUCAGUGACCACUACCCCGUGGAGGUGGAGCUGAAGCUGAGCCAGGCGCACAGCGUCCAGCCUCUCAGCCUCACUGUUCUGUUGCUGCUAUCACUCCUGUCCCCUCAGCUGUGCCCUGCCGCCUGAGCGUCCCCCUACCCCCCCAGGGCCUGCUGCCUUUUGGGACUUAAACCCCAGCCUCCCCCGUCCAUCCAGCCCUGGGGCUGGGGGGCUUCAACUACAGUUGCCCUGUGACUGUAGUCCACCCCUGCCUGCCUUGUUUGAUUUGGCUCUUGUUCUUUGGUUGGGCUUGUGCCUAGAUUAGGAGAGGAAGCCAGGGGCCCUGCACUCAUGCCACCUGCCAGGU